GUGGAUUAGAUACCCUAGUAGUCCGCACUGUAAACGAUGAUUACUCGCUGCUGGGAGGUAACUUUCAGUGGCUUAGCGAAAGCGAUAAGUAAUCCACCUGGGGAGUACGCCGGCAACGGUGAAACUCAAAGGAAUUGACGGGGGCCCGCACAAGCGGAGGAGCAUGUGGUUUAAUUCGAUGAUACGCGAGGAACCUUACCAGGGCUUGAAAGUUAGUGACCGCUUCUGAAAGGAAGCUUUCCGCAAGGACACGAAACUAGGUGCUGCAUGGUCGUCGCCAGCC
rnacentral:rRNA from 1 species